GUAUAUGAUGAUUCGCACAACUCACGACGGUCAACUGUUAUCCAACAACAAUGUUAAAUCGUUGGAUAUUUGAUGAAAUACGGCUGUGACUAGCCGUGCCCCUGAAA
rnacentral:snoRNA from 1 species